UACGUAGGUGGCAAGCGUUGUCCGGAUUUACUGGGCGUAAAGAGCGCGCAGGCGGUCGUCCAAGUCGCGUGUGAAAGCCCCCGGCUCAACUGGGGAGGGUCACGCGAUACUGGUCGACUCGAAGGCAGGAGAGGGUAGUGGAAUUCCCGGUGUAGUGGUGAAAUGCGUAGAUAUCGGGAGGAACACCAGUGGCGAAGGCGGCAUCCUGGACCGA
rnacentral:rRNA from 1 species